GAUGAACGCUAGCGAUAGGCUUAACACAUGCAAGUCGAGGGGCAGCACAAGGUAGCUUGCUAUCUGGGUGGCGACCGGCGCACGGGUGCGUAACGCGUAUGCAACUUGCCCUAUACAGGAGGAUAACCCGUCGAAAGACGGACUAAUACUGCGUAUGCUCACAACUUGGCAUCAAGUGGUGAGGAAAGAAAUUCGGUAUAGGAUAGGCAUGCGUCCCAUUAGCUUGUUGGUGAGGUAACGGCUCACCAAGGCAACGAUGGGUAGGGGAACUGAGAGGUUUAUCCCCCACACUGGUACUGAGACACGGACCAGACUGCUACGGGAGGCAGCAGUGAGGAAUAUUAGUCGAUGAGCGCGAGCCUGAACCAGCCAAGUCGCGUGAAGGAUGACUGUCUUAUGGAUUGUAAACUUCUUUUAUACGGGAAUAACAAGAGUCACGUGUGACUCCCUGCAGGUACCGUAUGAAUAAGCAUCGGCUAACUCCGUG
rnacentral:rRNA from 1 species